CAGUUAUCACGAAAGGCGGAGGGAUAGACCCGAUGAAACCUUAGCAACCCUUUAUCAUAAAGAAGGUGCUAAAUUCUACUUUAUACUACAUUUUCCAGUAUUAAAGAUAGAUAACAC
rfam:Flavobacterium plurextorum strain CCTG 60112 WGS0045_contig_14, whole genome shotgun sequence.